GAUGAACGCUGGCGGCGUGCUUAACACAUGCAAGUCGAACGGUGAAGGCGGAGCUUGCUCUGCUGGAUCAGUGGCGAACGGGUGAGUAACACGUGAGCAAUCUGCCCCUGACUCUGGGAUAAGCGCUGGAAACGGCGUCUAAUACUGGAUACGAGCUGCGAAGGCAUCUUCAGCAGCUGGAAAGAAUUUCGGUUAGGGAUGAGCUCGCGGCCUAUCAGCUUGUUGGUGAGGUAAUGGCUCACCAAGGCGUCGACGGGUAGCCGGCCUGAGAGGGUGACCGGCCACACUGGGACUGAGACACGGCCCAGACUCCUACGGGAGGCAGCAGUGGGGAAUAUUGCACAAUGGGCGAAAGCCUGAUGCAGCAACGCCGCGUGAGGGACGACGGCCUUCGGGUUGUAAACCUCUUUUAGCAGGGAAGAAGCGAAAGUGACGGUACCUGCAGAAAAAGCGCCGGCUAACUACGUG
rnacentral:rRNA from 1 species